rnacentral:rRNA from 1 species
GAGCGGCGAACGGGUGAGUAACACGUGGGUGAUCUGCCUUGCACUCUGGGAUAAGCCUGGGAAACUGGGUCUAAUACCGGAUAUGACCUUCGACUGCAUGGUCGAGGGUGGAAAGAUUUAUCGGUGCAAGAUGAGCCCGCGGCCUAUCAGCUUGUUGGUGGGGUAAUGGCCUACCAAGGCGACGACGGGUAGCCGGCCUGAGAGGGCGACCGGCCACACUGGGACUGAGACACGGCCCAGACUCCUACGGGAGGCAGCAGUGGGGAAUAUUGCACAAUGGGCGGAAGCCUGAUGCAGCGACGCCGCGUGAGGGAUGACGGCCUUCGGGUUGUAAACCUCUUUCGACUCCGACGAAGCGAAAGUGACGGUAGGAGUAUAAGAAGCACCGGCCAACUACGUGCCAGCAGCCGCGGUAAUACGUAGGGUGCGAGCGUUGUCCGGAAUUACUGGGCGUAAAGAGCUUGUAGGCGGUCUGUCACGUCAUCUGUGAAAACUUGGGGCUCAACCUUAAGCUUGCAGGCGAUACGGGCAGACUAGAGUACUUCAGGGGAGA